CGAGUGGCGGACGGGUGAGUAAUAUAUAGGGAUCUGCCUAAUAGUGGGGGACAACGUGUGGAAACGCACGCUAAUACCGCAUACGCUCUACGGAGGAAAGUGGGGGCUCUUCGGACCUCAUGCUAUUAGAUGAACCUAUAUCGGAUUAGCUUGUUGGUGAGGUAAUGGCUCACCAAGGCGACGAUCCGUAGCUGGUUUGAGAGAAUGAUCAGCCACACUGGGACUGAGACACGGCCCAGACUCCUACGGGAGGCAGCAGUGGGGAAUAUUGCACAAUGGACGAAAGUCUGAUGCAGCAAUGCCGCGUGUGUGAAGAAGGCCUUCGGGUUGUAAAGCACUUUCAGAUGUGAGGAAAAGCAGUCUAUUAAUACUAGAUUGCCGUGACGUUAACAUCAGAAGAAGGACCGGCUAACUCCGUGCCAGCAGCCGCGGUAAUACGGAGGGUCCAAGCGUUAAUCGGAAUUACUGGGCGUAAAGCGCGCGU
rnacentral:rRNA from 1 species